rnacentral:rRNA from 1 species
UACGGGGGGGGCAAGCGUUGUUCGGCAUUACUGGGCGUAAAGGGCUCGUAGGCGGCCAACUAAGUCGGAUGUGAAAUCCCCAGGCUUAACCUGGGAACUGCAUCCGAUACUGGAUGGCUUGAAUCCGGGAGAGGGAUGCAGAAUUCCAGGUGUAGCGGUGAAAUGCGCAGAUAUCAGGAGGAACACCAAUGGCGAAGGCAGCACUCUGGGACGUGACUGACGCUGAGACGCGAAAGCGUGGGGAGCAAACAGG